AUGCCUUAGCCACUUGUACAUGUUUAUAAUUUUAUAUUUUUCUAUCGCUAAACUGGUCAGUGAUUGCUUAGUAAUACGUCAUAGAGAAUUUACAGUUAAAGCUUUAUUUUGAAAGGACGUCCACUAGGUGUUGUAAAGCAGGAGUAAUUACAGUAAAGCAGAAAGCAGCGCGAAAGGUCCGAUGAGCAGAAAAAGGUGCUCCACGGAAAAUAAUUGAGACAAAACAGUUUUAAGGUGUUCUCAAAGCUGCUGACGGUCACUCUAGCACCUGGUUGAUAAGGAGAACAAGCUCUUACGGUGGAUAUGGUCAAGGCAAGGCAAUAAAACACUUUUCAACCACCA